rnacentral:rRNA from 1 species
GACGGGGCCGCACAAGCGAGGAGCAUGUGGUUUAAUUCGAUGAUACGCGAGGAACCUUACCUGGGCUCGAACGUAAGAUGACUGUAGGUGAAAGCUUACAUCUCUUCGGAGCAUUUUACGAGGUGCUGCAUGGUUGUCGUCAGCUCGUGCCGUGAGGUGUCGGGUUAAGUCCCAUAACGAGCGCAACCCCUACCUUUAGUUGCCAUCAGGUUAAGCUGGGGACUCUAAAGGAACUGCCUACGCAAGUAGUGAGGAAGGCGGGGAUGACGUCAAAUCAGCACGGCCCUUACGUCCAGGGCUACACACGUGCUACAAUGGCCGAUACAGAGGGCAGCUACCUGGUGACAGGAUGCAAAUCUCCAAAGUCGGUCUCAGUUCGGAUCGGAGUCUGCAACCCGACUCCGUGAAGUUGGAUUCGCUAGUAAUCGCGCAUCAGCCAUGGCGCGGUGAAUACGUUCCCGGGCCUU